UUUAGUGUAAAAUUCCUAUUAAAAUGAUUAUUAAAAUUUUUAUGAUUCAGUACAUAAUUUUUUACAAGUUUGGAAGAUUAGAGAAGAAACCAUAAAUUCAGACAUCAAGUAGUAUCAUUGAUCUGGACUCUGAUGAUGUUUUGUAUUUUGUAUUCUUUAAAAAGAGGUGGUGAGGAAAGUUUCCAAAAUGGGAAGAAGACAAGGAUUGUCUUAUAUUUGGUUCAUUUCUGUACUCCCAGGACCUCAAACAGGGCCUGUAAGGAAGUUGAAACUCAUUCAUUCCUGCAUUCAUUCAUUCAUUCAUUUAAAAAAAUCUUUAUUUGGCCCAUACUAUGGGCCACAUGCCUUGCUAGGCCCUACAGAUAGUAGACAAAAAGAAACAGAUGUGGUCCUGCCCUUACAGAGGUUACAUAGGCAUACAUCAAAUAAUUACAAAGACAAACAUAAGCUUUCACUGUGAUAAACAAUAUGAGAGAUGAUUAGGUACUCCAUAGCAGAAUAAAUAGGGAGAUUGUAUGUAAGUAGGUAGGCAGAGGAAGGCAUCGCUGAGGAUAUGAAAUCCAGCUGAAGUGUAAAGAAUGAAUAGGGAUUAGUUGUGUGAAGAGGGAAAUGCAAGAGGAAAGCAUUGCAAGAAGAGGGAUGGUCGAAGAAUCGGUAGAAGUACAGAAACUUGAGAGAACGAAAAAAGGGCAGCGCAUAUGGAACAGUUAGAGAAAUUAAGAUCAAGAACGACUGGACAGCAACAAACCCAGAAUUCUAUUCUUUAAAAUAGCAUUAGAAAGUCUAAUACCUAGGAAUAAAUCUAAUGGAAGAUGAAAAAAACCUCUACACUGAAAACUCAAAAGCAUGAUCGAGAUAAAGUAAAGUAAACCUAAAUGGAUGGAGGGAUUAUUUUGUUUAUGUAUUGGAAAAUUCAGUAUUGUAGGAUAUAAAUUCUCUUCAAAUGGUUUAUAGAGGCAAUAAAAUCCCAAACAAAAUUUCAGCAAUUUAUUUUGAGAUUGACAAACUGAUUCUAAAAUGCCAAUGGAAAUGCAAAUAGCAAGGCAAUCAUGAAGAACAAUGAACUGUAGGAGCUAAAUUGCCAGAUAUAAAGAUUGAUUAUAAAGCUAUAGAAAUUAAUACAAGAUGAUAUUGGUGGAGGUAUAGAUCACUAGACCAAUGGAUCAGUAAGUCCAGAACAAACUCACACAAAAACAAUCACUUGAUUCAUAACAAAAGGAGUAUUUCAUUGCUGUAGGGAAAGACAUGGUCUUUUAAUAAAUUGCACAUCUAUAUGGAAGAAAGAGUUUCUUGAACAGUAUUAUAUGCCUUACAGAAAGAAACAAAAUCAAUCCCAGAUGUAGUUUAGAUCUAAUUGUGAAAGGUAAGACAAUGAAGAUUUUAGAAAAAAGCAAACACUAUUACUUACUUUAUGCUGGGUAAGUAAAGAUUUAUUCCAUAGGACACGGAAAAGACUAACCAUAAAAACCGAUAAAUCAGAAUACACUAAACAGUAACCAUUAUUCAUCAAAAUGCGCCAUUAAGAAUGUGAAGAGGAAAGGCACAGACUGGGAAAAAAUAUUUGCAAUAUUUAUUUCAACAAAGAACUCAUAGCCAGAAUAUAUGGGGAAAAAAAGCAACAACCCUCAAAUUCAUUUGACAUUGUCAACGAUACAAUAGACAAAAUGAGAAAAAAGCUUGGGCAGCCACUCCAUAAAGAGAAUAUCCAAAACCAAUAACCAAAUGAACAGCACUCAAGUUCUAAAAUCACAAGGGAAGUACAAAUUAAAGCCCAAUUUGAUAUGAGUGCAUAGUUACUGUUAAAAUGAAAAGAACAGAAAAUGUCAAAUGUUGGGACACUGAAACUCGAUAUAAUUUUGAUGAGAGCAUAAAUUGGUAUAUGCAUUUUAGAAAAUAUCAGAAAUAUCUGCUAAAGCAGAAUAUAUCCAUGCCCUAUAUUUAGAUAUAACCUCACAAAAUAGCAUAGGAGUAUUCAUCAAAAGACAUGUACAAGAAUGCUUAUAACAGUAUUAUUUGUAAUAGUUAAUACUGCAAAUGACUCAGAUCUUCAUCAACAGUAGAGAGGAUUUAAAAAGUGUAGUGUGUUCAUAAAAUGAAUUCUAUGCAGCAACAGAACAAACGGCACGUUUGUAUACACAACAAUGUAUGUUGUUGGCAGAGGAAUGAAAUAGAUCGAUGAUCCUGAAAAGUUAGUACAGAAAUAAACCAACACAUACAUAGUCAGCUCACAUAUGAUGAAAGAGAUGUUUCAGUAUAGUGCAGACAGCUUAAUUUUGGACAAAAGAAGCCAGAUUUAUAAACUACACAUUGCACAUUCUCAUGUAUAGAAAGUUGGAAAACAGGCAAAAGUAACCUGUGGUGGCAGAGGUCAAGAUAGUGGUCACCCUUGUGGGCUAGUGACCAAAGGGGACUGAGAGGACACUUCUAGGCACAGGAAAUAUUCUGUUUCUUGAUUCUGGGAGCUGGUUCCACGGGCACAUUAACUUUAUGAGAAUCUAUCAAGCUAUACACCUAAGAUUUGUGCACUUUUUUGUACCAUGUUAUACUUUAAUAAAAUGUUUACUUAAAAAGUUAAAGAAAGAUAUAAGUCAAAAUUGAAAGCAGAUGCAGACAAAGCACAGUGUUAAAAACUAUGAUAUCUUUAUCGUUUAUCUAAGAAAUAGAGAAAAUAGUUGAAAGGUUUUAAUAAGGAAUAUUGGUCUUAUCAGAUGGCAGUGACAGGAGAAAAGAAAAAAUAUGGACAGAAUAGGGAUAUUUGGUGGGUUAAAUCAACCAAAUGUGCUGAUGGACUCAAUAUUGCAGGAGGCAGAGGGAGCAGUUGUCACGAUCCCCAGCCUUAGGCGUGCAUACAUGGAUGGAUGGCAGUACUAUACUCUUUGAAUUCAAAUUCUAGUUUCCUGGAAGGAAAAUUCUGAAUCGGCCUUUGGAAAAAUUAAACAUGAAGUGCCGUUGAACCAUCUAAAUGAAUGAUGAGUAGAUAGUUGAAUAUAGAGGUCUACACCACAAAUAGAAGUCAGUACCAGAAAUAUAUAUUCAUAAGUUAUCUGUCUAUGGAUAGAGGACAAAUUGAAUAGGGAGGAUAUCAAUAACGUGAGAAAAGUAGAAAGGCUGAAUCCUGAGGAACUUCAGCAGUGAAUGGCACUGUAGUGAGAAAUGAACAAGUAUAUAACGCACAAGUGGUCAGACAGGUAGAAUAAAAUCUAGGGCACAGGUGGAUCAUAGAAGGCAAGAGAAAGAAUUAAGAAAAAUGGGAAGGCCAGUAGUGUUGACUGCUGUUGAGAGGUCAAAUAAGGGGGAAUUCAGAUUAUACAUUUAUUCAGCAGAAUAAAUAAUUCUUGAAUGAAUAAAUAAAUUAUUGAAGUUAGAUUUUCUGUACAGUUAAUAGUGUAAAAGAAAACCAUUGCUUUGGAAAAUACCGGAUUGAACUGGGUGAAAGUAAACAGCACAUCAUUCACAGGGUGGAGAAUGGAUCCAAACAGGAAUUCUUUACACUUUGUGUUUCUAGUAACCUUAUGUUGAUCAUCUUCCAAAACCUCACUAUAGAAAAAGGUUCUAAUUUGACAUUACAGAAUCUGGUCUUUUAGAUGCAUGCUUACAAUUUUGGUUUAGUUGCCUAAAAUGAGGUUCAUGAGUCAAAACACAUUGCAAUUUGCAUUUAAACCAAAGACUUUUAAAGUCCCUAUUUUGACAUCCUGAAACUACUGGUUUUUAGGAGAGCAAUUUAAAAAUGUGGAAGUUUGGCUGAAAAUUUCAGACCAAGCAUAAUAAAAAGCAAAUGCCAAGAAUUAGAGUCAUUCUUAAAAACAUUUUCUAAGGUGAAGGGUUUCAGACUUUAUGACAAUUCUAAAAUUCUGACUUCAGGAAAACAUAAUUUAACAUCCUAUUAAUCAAGAUGGUUAAUUCUUCAGAAAUAUUGACCCAUACGUUUAUCUCUGAUAAACAAUCUUAUAAUGUAAAAAAAUAAAUAAUAGCUGGUGCGGUGUCAAAGUACUUAAGGACACAGUUCUAGAGUCAGAAAGAUGUAGUUUUGAUUCCUCGUAGUGUCAAUUUACAUAUUGGAUACAUGUUAAGCCCAGGUUCCUUCUGAAGGAAUGGGCUUGCUUGUGGCAUGUAUCUCAUAAGGCUAAGAGGAGUUAAUGAGAUCUUGUUUGAAAGGACUUAGCACAGGGCCCUGUACUCAGAGAGCAUUCACUGGGUAUAGCUAUCAUGGUGAUCGACAAAGAAUGAACACCAACAAUGCCAAGUAGGAGCUCAUGGACUUGUUCGUGCAUUCAAAAACUAUUUAUGAAGGAUAUACAAAUCAUUAGGAUCUGAGUCAGGGGCUGUGAAAGACCCAGUGAUGAUCAAGAUACUGUCCUUAAGAUGUUUAUAACAUAGAAAGAUAACUAAGAUACAUACACAAAUAGUGACUGUAAGACAAGAAAAGUGGCAUGUGCCCAAAGAAAGGAAAGAUAGAGGAAUAGGGGAAUUUAGGGAAGCUGGACACCCCUGACUUCUGAAAGCCUGGAGAAAGUUUCACUGCCAGGGACAAAUGUAGUAGAGUCACAAGCGCAGGCUGAGGUAUGGGGGGCUCUGUUUGACUCCAGACUCUAUCAUUUGUUAGUAGUGUGACCCUGUGCAAGUUACUUGAACUUCAGUGACUCAGUGCUUUCAUCCAUAAAAUGGGUCUCUAAUAAUGUCUAGUGGAUAAAUGCGGUAGCAUAUUUAUAACAGCACCUGGCACAUAGUGAGAAAUCCAUCAAUAUCAGGGGGCAAUUUUAGUGCAUAUAUCAAGCCCACUAGCCAGCUACCUGGCUUUUGUGUGUUACCUUCCCUUCCUUUUCGGGUGAGUUCUUUUUAGCCAAGGUAAUGCAGAAUGAUCCUACCCAUCUCACCUCCAUGACCCCGAUUGACAUAACCCAAGCAGGGUCAAUUAGAAUUUAGAUCCCACGGAUUUGGAAUUGUAACUAAAAGAAAGUUGAGUUCACCGGCAAGUACAAACGGAACUGCUUCAUGUGAACCUGGGAGCUGAGGGCAACAUAUCCUGUCAAUUAAAGUAGGUAGCAGAGAAAGAGCACUUAAAAAACAUAGAAUAAAGCAGACAUGAGGAGAGAAACAGAAGUGCAAAGUAGAAAACCUCAACAACUAUUUAGACCUUGCUUCCAGUUUUUCCCUUAGGCCAACUUUACUCUUUAAAUUUGAUAAUUUCCCGUUUUUACCUAAGGGAAUACAAAUUAAUUCCUAUCACAGGCAAACAGAAAGCUCACUAAAUCAAGAUGGCAUAUUAACUCUGUUUUGGAGAGUAGGUAGUAGUAAGAUGAAAUGAUGAAAGAGAAGGACAAUUUGGCAGCUGAAACAUCUUGAUCAAAGAGACUCAUUAAAACUGUAUAUAAUUCACUUCAGUUUGACUUGAGGACAUGGUAGAGAAAAGAAAGUAGUGAGUAACAAAUGUUAUAAUAGUAGUUAGGUUUCAGAUUAUGAAGAGUCUGGAACAAUGUGGUUAAGCACGUGAUGUGACAAGAAGGGAUUUUGAGAUAGGAAUGAUAUGAUUGGACUUGUGUUUUUAUGAUGAUAGUAAUGAUUAAUUAAAAUUUAUAGAGCACAUAAUAUGGGUUAUGCCUUUUGCUAACCUUUUUAUGUGCAUUUUUUUUACUUCAUUUUCCAACAACCCCAUGAACUAUGAACCUUGUGAUCAUAUUUUCAGAUUUCAGAUACAAAACCCUAGGCUUGGAGAGGUUAUAUGAUUUGCCAAAGGUCACAGAGCUAGUAUGUAUCAAGCCAAGCUCUGCUAAUAUUAAACUUUUAACAAGCAUGCUAUAUUUCCCAUAGCAUGUUGAAUGGAUUUACAAAACUUAUAACCUCUACAGGGGCCAAACAGGUAAUAAAAUGAGCCAAACAGCUCACAUGUAAAAUAACAGGGAACAGUAGAGAUUGUGGCAAACUCGAGCUAAAUGUAAGAUGCAUUCAACUUCCAAGAGAAUUCAAAUUCUAUUUCUUUUUUUGGAAAUUGAAUCUAUGGAACAUAUAUUGCCCUUGGAUCAAGGCUGAUUAGAUUAGAGGAGAGCCUUGGGAUAAGAAGAUCAAUUAUAUGAUCAUUAUAAGUUAAGAGGAGAGAGAAAAUGAGAUUUGAGUGGAAGUAGGGGGAAAAAAGAGGAAGGCCUAUAACUCAGAGAUACAAGGAGAUCUUGAUGUCAUACAAGGAAGCUAAAGUGAAAGGCAGGGAUACACUCUACCGUUAAAAUUUAAAGAGUCUUUGACUAGAAUGGUGGUAGAAAUAGAACAUAAAAGGAUGGGGAAAUAGAACACAGAAGGAUGGGGAAAUAGAACAUAGAAGGAUGGGAAGGAGAAAGAGGGGUGGAUGAGUGGAGAUGGUAAAUAUAGGCAAGAGACCACUGAAUUUGAUGUUUUGGCUGGUCUCACCUUGGAGCCAAUUUUCAAGUACUUGAAAAUAAGAGACUAAAAUGGCAAAGUUUGCAUCUAAACUAUGGCUAUUUUAUUGAUUCAUACAAGCUAUUUGUUUUAGAAUAACUAUAACAUUCCUUAGGUCAGAAAACUCUCGUUUGGCUUACCUGUCUAGUAGGAGUGACUGAAUUGGACUGAAUUUGGAGACGUGAGAACUUCACUCCCAAACUACCAGGAGCUUCCAACUAGUCCAUGAGGCUCUUGCUAGGAAGAAGAAUGGGUGGAGGAGCCAGGAAGCUUGGGUGAAUCCUGCCUUCUCAUCGACAGCCAUGUGGCCAUGGACAUAAGACUCCACCUCUCUGAGACUCUCUUCCCUCAACUACUAAAUGAAGAUGAUGAUCACACCUGCUUCUAAAGGUUUCAGCUUACAUCAGGCAUCCCAGCUCCGUUUGCUGUGCGAAUGUACCUUCAAACUCUCCAAGUUAUAAAAAGUUUACUUCCUGACUCUCCUUCCUCAUUGAGACUCAUUGAGACUUUGCAGUAGAUAUAAUGGAAAAUGCUUUUCAGCACCAACUCCACUAUUCACUGCUUUGAACACCGCAAUAAAUAGAAAGGACAAGAAUUGAAAGUCUUUCUUUUCCCUCUUAGCUUUUUCUAAGUGCUGAACUGAAUAGGUGUCAACUUUCUGUUGUAGCCCUGGCAGUUCUUACUUUCAAAAGAACAAUCAGAAGGAAACCCUUUCAGAAAAUUGAUCCGCCAAAGUUUGAAAUGCUUAAAAAUAAACUGUCACUUCUGUCUGUUUCCCCCUACACAACCUGUCAACCUCACCUCUGGCUUCUUAUUUUCCAAACCCUAACAGCCAGGCAUUCUUUUUCAAAAGGCUUCUCUGAAGCUUCUUCUUUGUCAGGAGUAUUGUAGACCCUGACCAAAUAUUUUAUAAAUUGGAGGGAGACCUGAAUGCGGAUAAAAGCCGACCAGUGCUCCCUGCUGCCCUGACACCUCCACCCGCCGAGUUCUGAAAUUUGGGUUAAGAAACAGUAUUUCUUCUAAAUCCAGUUUGACAAUUUCCAUCCUCAGUAUUUAGAAAAAAGUAUAUAUAUAUGUACAUAUAUAUGUAUGGUAUAGAUCUAUAUCUAUCUUUAUAUCUAUUUCUUGUUCAUCCAGCACCCUAGAUUUGAGCUUCUUUAUUGGGGUUCCUAGCAGAAAUAGGCUCAAAUAGUUUCAAACAAGCUUUCAUUGUUGGAUUCCCCCCUGCCCAGAACAUGUCCUUCCCAAAGAAUUUCUUUUCCCUAAUAAAGUCUGUGGUCUCCUAUAAAUGGGGGUAUGUGCUCAAGCAAUUGUGCUAGAAGCCAUGUGUUAAAUCUGACAUGUCGAUAAGGAUUAUCCCCAAAAGUCCAUAUUAACCUGCCCAGAGGGGCAUGUUGUGAUUUUGUGACAUUGUUCCUGAUAUGAGUAUCCUCAUCAAAGCACGUAUAGAUAAGAAUUGGAAAUCAACAACAUCAUUACACGUUUCAACUAAGAAACACUUUUCUGAAAGGAUCCUUCACCCUCUAGGAGAAAUAAGACACACAAAAUUUUAAAGUGGCAAUAAUAACUAGUUUUACAGAAUGUCAGUAAUUUAUAAUGUAAGAUUAGCUGGUGGGUUGAUAUUUUGUCUGUUUGUGUUAAAUAUGUGAGUCCUUUCCUAAAAGGCGGUAAAAGCCAUAUAUUCUGUAAUUUCAGAAUGAGAAAGAUGAGAGAGUCUAGUUUAAGAAAUUCAGAUCUCACAUAUAAACUUUAAUUGAACAAUGGUCUUGCCUCUGCCCUGGGUUAGAACUGUCCUUCAUCAUAGUCCCAAUGUUUUGUUUGGAUAAAAGUCUAGAUAGCUGCAUCUACAGCCUGCAUUGCAGCACAUUCUCUGUCCUCUUUGGUUAAUUCCCCAUUAUUUUUGUAUCCUAUUUACUCCCUUUGCUAAAUUGCAUAUUUCUUAAAAGGCAAGCCAUGACUCACUCAAUCAUCUGUGCGUCUAUCACGUUGCCCGACCUGGAUGUGCUGCCUAUAAUAACUGCUUUGGAAAUGUCAGUUAAAUAUACAAAAGCCAAGGAUGCUAUGGAUAGGAAAGUCAACACUGCAAUUUCCUCUGACAUCACUUCCCUCCUUCCAGAAACAGAGCCGCUAAAAGCUAAAUCCUCUACCCAGUAUUUUGUGGUUAUUGAUCUUUGACUUUCGUUUUAUUGCUAUACCCAAAGAAUCACCAAAUAACAUUGACUCCACCUUUCUUUCUUAUUUCUUCCCUCCCACAUCUCUUUAUAUGACGGCCCUAACUCUGUGGUGUUAGAGUCAGAGAUUUAAAUUCUACUUGUUGUCCUCACAUUUAAAAAUAUGUUAUGGUUGUGGACAAUUAUUUACUCUUCACACUUCCCUUCUCUACAAAAGUGAAGAGGUGUGAUCAUUAAAACAGGGAGAUCCCUGUGAUUCUGAUUGUGAAUUUAUGACUGGCUUCUAGAAUAAGCUAAUCCUCUUAAACAUCGUGUUUUUCCAAUCUCUGUUCAAACACUUCUGUUAGGUAAAAUUCUCAAAGCUCUGGCCUUGCUCCCUCAUGGAUUUAAAGAUAUUCCCUCUUACUAUGACUUACAUUUUUAGAUUGUGAGUUUAUCUUUCUUUGAUUAUUAUCUAUAGAGAUCCUUUAAAAGCUUGGAUUGUAGGUUCUCCAUUUGUUUCCAGCAGAGGUUGUAACCACUGGGAUCACUUUUUGUAGCAAUUACUUAGCUUGGAAGUUAACCAAGGGCAGGCCCCAUGUUAACAGGGGAACCUCUCUCUCUCUUCCUCUCCCUGUCCCUUUGUUUCUCUCCCUGGAGCACAGGUUAAGACAGACAAGCUUCUAGCAAGUGGGUGGAUUUAUUCUCACCCAUCCCUUUGAGGGUCUGGUUUAAUGUAAAUGUCUCAGGUCCACAUCCUAAAUGUACAGUCCAAGGCCUUAUCUCCAGACCCCAUGCAGCUAUUCAAACUCUCUCUCUCCAACAGAGCAAUACAACUGACAGCUCAUAUUUUCCACUCUCAUGUUUUAUUGUCUGUUUGUUGUUUUUUGAGAAUUUUCUUUGCAUACUUAUGAGCUAAGAUACACAUUUAAACGGAUAGUUACAUUUGAUACAUCUGUUGUUUUUAUUUUAUAUUAUUUAUUUUAUGAUUUUUUUUAGAAUACAGGUUUCCACGUUGCUCCAAGUGGAAUCUCCCAAUAGCUUCUGAAGUAAUAGGCUACUUUAUUUUCUCUUAUUUUAGUAGAUCUGGCAUACUAUGGUCAGCAUAAUGAUCUGAAAAUAUUAUCCUAGUCUCUUACGUGACCCCCAGGAUAAAAAUCAAAACUUCUAUGCCAGUCAUACAGUACUCCCUACAAAUCUUUCCCCAUCCUUCCCUGUCAAUCAUACCUUCCCAGGCCUCUGCAGGAACUAUGCUUUCCCACUGCUGAGCCAUGGUAGAUGCUCCUGAGUAUAUCCCAAAUCACCUGUAUGUGACCCUCCCUCAGUUCAAACCGAUCCUUCUUUCAGGGGUGAGUUCAAGCCUCACUUUCUUUGAGAAGCUUCGCUGAUUACUCAGACACCCAGAGAUCUUGCCCUGUCCUCGAAAACUCACUGUCUACUCUAAACCACAUACCCCAUGCAAAGGUUUGCAACUUCUAAUUCGUACUGGGACAGGCAGGUGACAUGAGAGAGUGAUGUGGACUGGGUAUAAGGGGUCAAACGUGAAACCACAAUUAUAAAUGGUAAUCGACAUCUGGCCACAGUGUCAGGGAGAUGUUAGGAGGAGUGGCAAGAUGGGCAGUGUGACAAAACUGUAAAGAGAACAGCUGCCACUGAGCGUCAUCUCAUUACUCCCAUUCAGAAAGACCAGGCAGUGUUGUUAGAACUUCCAAUUUUUGAGGAAAGCCAGAAGUCUGCAUUUUUAGAUAAAAUCUAGUAAUUCUUUUAUUUUUUCAACUUUGUUAAGGUAUAACUGACAAACAAAACUGUAAGAUAUUUAAAGUAUACAUCAUGAUGAUUUGAGAUAUGUCUACAUUGUGAACAAAUUCCUCCCAUCUAGUUAAUUAACACAUCUAUCACCUCAUAUAUUUAUUUACUUUUUUUAGGAGAACAUUGAAGUUUUCCUCUCAGCAAAUUUCAAUUAUGCAAUAUGAUAUUAUCAACUAUAGUCACCAUGUUAUAUAUUAGAUCCUCAGACUGAAGUGUGUUCCCUUUUACUAACCUGACCCUAUUUCCCCAGCCUCCAGUCGCUGGCAACCACUUUUCUAAUCUCUGUUUCAAAAUCUAGAGAUUCUUUUUUUUUUUGCCAAGGAAUAUUUGCCCU